GAGAGGCUUCCCUGCCGCAGGCCAGGCUAUACAACUCUUUGGUACGCAUUUUUAUAUCUCCCGCUAUAUCUGCUCUGCCAAACAUUUAACAAUUUAAGUUGGGCCAGCCUAUUCCAUACUUUGGGAGUUUACGUUCGUAAUGACGUCAAAGUAUGCUUUUGGUACCCCGGAUAAACAAAUCUUGAUCGAAUCUAUAUUUAUCCAAUGUAUACAAUCUGUUCAACUUAAAUUUCAUAUGGGUUGGAUGUACUUUUAUGUUCAUGUUUUUUUUAUUAUUUUUAAUUUAUAUAUAUUAAUUUUUAAAAUUUAAUUUUUUUAAUAUAUAUAUAUUUAAAUUUUAACACAUAUAAUUUUUAUUUUAAUAUAUAUAUUUAUUUUAAUACAUGAAAUUAAAGUUUAUAUAUAAUUUUAUAAUUUUUUUCUAUUAAUAUAUUAAUUAAUAAAUUAUAUUUUUAAUUAAACACUAAAUCUAAUCUUAAAAAAUAACAUAUUAAUAAUUAAUUAGAUAAUAUAAUUUAUUCUAAGAAACAUAUUAAUUAUAUUUUAAUAAUGUAUUAACUAGUAAAUUAAUUUUUUAAUUAAAUAAUAAUUUUAAUUAUAGAUAAUAGUCUUUUUAAAUAUUAUAUUCACUAAUAAAUUAAUAUUUUUAAUUAUAUAAUAAUUUCUAAUUCUAAAAAAUAGUAAUAUCAAUUAUAUUAAUAGUAUUGAUUUAUAUAAUAUUAUAAUUAACUUAAUAAAUAUUUUUUAGAUAAUUUUAUAUUAUUACAUUAUAAGAUUUUCAAAUUUUAAAAAAAUUAAAAAUAUUUAAAUAUAGUUAGUUUGUUGGUAUUUUUUAAAAUAUUAUAAAUAAAUAUUAAAUGUCAAAAAAUUUAUUAGAUUGUAUCUAUAAACUUGAUUUUAUAAUAAAUUUGUAAUCAAAAUAAUAAUAACGAUCGUACAAUGCAUAUAUGUAAAAAACUAUUGAUAUUUAAAUUUAAUAUAUAAAUUUUUUAUGAGAUAUUUCCAAAAUAUAUACACAUGAAACUCAUUUUAAUUACAAAUAAAUUUUAUAAAUAUAUUGAUCUUGUAAAUGCAAUUUCAUAUUUGUAAAGAUAAUUUAAAUUUUUAGUCUUAUUAGAUUUUCAUUUUGAAUUUAUAUCUUUGUUAAUUUGCAGCCAUGUUAGUUUAGAAUCCAUUAGUAAAUUCUUGCAAUGAGUCCAAAUGUAGCCGAUUCCAUUCAUAGAAUUAAUGUAAAUAAAAUUUCAGAUAUAUUUUUAUUUAUACUAAAUAGAAUGAAUAUGAAUUUUUAAAUGAAUUUGAUAAAACUUUAUAAAACUCCUCUAUUAUAGCAAAAAUAAAUUUCAAUUUUAAGUGCUGAAAUUUUUUAAUUUUAAGUGAUAAGCUGAGUUACUAAACACUCCCUAAGAGUUUAGUUAUUAGUGUUUCUACAAAUCAAACAUUUUUUCUUCAUUAAAUAAUAAUUUUCUUAGAAUGUUGUAGAAAAGAAUUUCAAACAAUAUAUAUAUCUUCUUAUGUAUUUCAUACUCUCAUCAUAUCUUAGGCUUUUUUAAAAAUUCAGAUUAGCUCUCUAAAUUCUAGAAGUAAUUUUAUAAAAUUAGUGGCUUGAUUAGAAGAAAGAGUAGAGUCUAGUGGCUUCCUGUCAGAGUUAAGGAGAAGAACUUGAAAAAUCAAGCUAAGAAAAAAGAGUUGCAUUUAUUACUUGUGUGUUAUAUGCAUGGAAAGCUGGGAACAACUUGAUUUUUAACAAUGUCCCUUGUGAAUUGUAAUGCUCAAAAUGUUUGCAGGCGUAUCAGGAACGAUUGCCAUUAAGUCCUGCUGUACCCAGGUAUUGAAAAAUUAAUAUCAUCUCAUUGAUUAUAUAUUAUAGUAUCAUCAUCUACAUAAACAGCCACUGAAAGCUAGUAACUUUUUAUCAUGGUGAAUUACUAGGAGAAACACCUAUACAAGCUUCUCUACCGAUGCACCAUACUCGCCUUCGACUUGGUGUUGCAGUUACUGAGCUUGCUUUGGCUUCACUAUAAGAGAAUCCCAUAUCAGAACUGUAACUAGCAUU
rnacentral:lncRNA from 1 species